UACGAAGGGGGCGAGCGUUGUUCGGAUUUACUGGGCGUAAAGGGUGCGUAGGCGGACUUAUAAGUCAGUGGUGAAGUCUCGAUGCUUAACAUCGAACGUGCCAUUGAUACUGUAGGUCUUGAGUACAGAUGCCGUUGGCGGAAUGUGUCAUGUAGCGGUGAAAUGCAUAGAUAUGACACAGAACACCGAUUGCGAAGGCAGCUGACGAAACUGUAACUGACGCUGAGGCACGAAAGCGUGGGGAUCAAACAGG
rnacentral:rRNA from 1 species